GCUCCUACGGGGCGCAGCAGUAGGGAAUUUUCGUCAAUGGGCGCAAGCCUGAACGAGCCAAGUCGCGUGAGGGAAGACGGUCCUAUGGAUUGUAAACCUCUUUUGUCGGGGAGCAAAGAGGCCACGUGUGGUCAAAAGCGAGAGUACCCGAAGAAAAAGCAUCGGCUAACUCCGUGCCAGCAGCCGCGGUAAUACGGAGGAUGCGAGCGUUAUCCGGAUUUAUUGGGUUUAAAGGGUGCGUAGGCGGGACGGUAAGUCAGCGGUAAAAAUGCGGAGCUCAACUCCGUCGAGCCGUUGAAACUGCC
rnacentral:rRNA from 1 species